AGUGAACGCUGGCGGCAGGCCUAACACAUGCAAGUCGAGCGGCAGCGCGGGGGCAACCCUGGCGGCGAGCGGCGGACGGGUGAGGAAUUCGUCGGAAUCUGCCUUUUUGUGGGGGAUAACGUAGGGAAACUUACGCUAAUACCGCAUACGUCCUACGGGAGAAAGUGGGGGACCGCAAGGCCUCACGCAGAAAGAUGAGCCGACGACCGAUUAGCUAGUUGGUGGGGUAAAGGCCCACCAAGGCGACCAUCGGUAGCUGGUCUGAGAGGAUGAUCAGCCACACUGGGACUGAGACACGGCCCAGACUCCUACGGGAGGCAGCAGUGGGGAAUAUUGGACAAUGGGCGCAAGCCUGAUCCAGCCAUGCCGCGUGUGUGAAGAAGGCCUUCGGGUUGUAAAGCACUUUUGUCCGGAAAGAAAUCCCUGAAGCUAAUACCUUCGGGGGAUGACGGUACCGGAAGAAUAAGCACCGGCUAACUUCGUG
rnacentral:rRNA from 1 species